rnacentral:rRNA from 1 species
UACGUAGGGUGCAAGCGUUGUCCGGAAUUAUUGGGCGUAAAGAGCUCGUAGGCGGUCUGUCGCGUCUGCUGUGAAAACCUAGGGCUUAACUCUGGGCGUGCAGUGGAUACGGGCAGGCUAGAGUUCGGUAGGGGAGACUGGAAUUCCUGGUGUAGCGGUGAAAUGCGCAGAUAUCAGGAGGAACACCGGUGGCGAAGGCGGGUCUCUGGGCCGAUACUGACGCUGAGGAGCGAAAGCGUGGGGAGCGAACAGG